rnacentral:rRNA from 1 species
AGUGAACGCUGGCGGUAGGCCUAACACAUGCCAGUCGAACGGCAGCACAGUAAGAGCUUGCUCUUACGGGUGGCGAGUGGCGGACGGGUGAGGAAUACAUCGGAAUCUACUUUUUCGUGGGGGAUAACGUAGGGAAACUUACGCUAAUACCGCAUACGACCUACGGGUGAAAGCAGGGGAUCUUCGGACCUUGCGCGAUUGAAUGAGCCGAUGUCGGAUUAGCUAGUUGGCGGGGUAAAGGCCCACCAAGGCGACGAUCCGUAGCUGGUCUGAGAGGAUGAUCAGCCACACUGGAACUGAGACACGGUCCAGACUCCUACGGGAGGCAGCAGUGGGGAAUAUUGGACAAUGGGCGCAAGCCUGAUCCAGCCAUACCGCGUGGGUGAAGAAGGCCUACGGGUUGUAAAGCCCUUUUGUUGGGAAAGAAAAGCAGCAGGUUAAUACCCCGCUGUUCUGACGGUACCCAAAGAAUAAGCACCGGCUAACUUCGUG